rnacentral:rRNA from 1 species
GACGAACGCUGGCGGCAUGCCUAACACAUGCAAGUCGAACGAGACCUCCGGGCCUAGUGGCGCUCGGGUGCUUACCGCCGGGUAACCUACCCUUAGGUUCCGAAUCACUCCCCGAAGGGGAACCUCAUACAACAUAAUGUAUUCGGGCCAAAGAUUUCUUGCCUUUGGAUGGGGCCGCGUUGGAUUCGCCAGUUGGUAGUGUACUAGCAUAUCAAGGGGACGUUGCAGAGCUGGUCUGUGAACAAGAUCAGCCACACUGGCACUAAGACACGGCCCACACUCCGACGGGAGGCAGCAGUGGGGAAUAUUGGACGAGGGGCGCAAACCUGAUCCAGCAAUGCCGCGUGAGUGAGGAAGCCCUUAGUGUUGUAAAGCUCUUUUACCCGGGAAGAUAAUGACAGUACCGGGUGAAUAAGCACCGGCUAACUCCGUG